rnacentral:rRNA from 1 species
AGAGUUUGAUCAUGGCUCAGGACGAACGCUGGCGGCGUGCCUAACACAUGCAAGUCGAACGAGGUCCAACCGGUGGCAACACUGGUGAAGACCGAGUGGCGAACGGGUGAGUAUCACGUGAGCAACCUGCCCCAAAGACUGGGAUAACCCCGGGAAACCGGAGCUAAUACCAGAUACCCCCACCGGGUCGCAUGGCCUGGUGAGGAAAUGGAUUCCGCUUUGGGAGGGGCUCGCGGCCUAUCAGCUUGAUGGCGGGGUAACGGCCCACCAUGGCACCGACGGGUAGCUGGUCUGAGAGGACGAUCAGCCACACUGGGACUGAGACACGGCCCAGACUCCUACGGGAGGCAGCAGUGGGGAAUCUUGCGCAAUGGGCGAAAGCCUGACGCAGCAACGCCGCGUGAGGGACGAAGGCCUUCUGGGUUGUAAACCUCUUUCAGCAGGGACGAUGAUGACGGUACCUGCAGAAGAAGCCCCGGCCAACUACGUGCCAGCAGCCGCGGUAAUACGUAGGGGGCGAGCGUUGUCCGGAAUUAUUGGGCGUAAAGAGCUCGUAGGCGGCUUGGCAAGUCACGUGUGAAAUCUCCAGGCUCAACCUGGUGAUGCCACGUGAGACUGCUAUGGCUAGAGUCCGGUAGGGGACCAUGGAAUUCCUGGUGUAGCGGUGAAAUGCGCAGAUAUCAGGAGGAACACCAGUGGCGAAGGCGGUGGUCUGGGCCGGUACUGACGCUGAGGAGCGAAAGCGUGGGGAGCGAACAGGAUUAGAUACCCUAGUAGUCC